rnacentral:lncRNA from 1 species
CGUCAAGAGGAAGAUGGAGCAGGAUUUGCGCAGCUUGCGCCAGGAUGAGCGGUCAGUGACUGAGUACGAGAGGGAGUUCUCCCGGAUACUACACUGUGUACCGUUCGUUGUGAGGGACGACGAGGACAAGGCCCGCAUCUUUGAGCGCGGUUUGCGGCCUUCUAUCUUUCGGUUGGUGCAGUCUUCCAACCUCCAGACCUACCGGGAGGUUGUGGAUCGAGCUUUGAUAGUGGAGGCAGGAGCGGCGGAUCUGCAGGAGCGUCGCGAGAGCUUGGAGAAAGGGAAGGGAAGAGGCCCGCGGCUGAGGGUGCGAGUCAGAUGCACUCACGGAGGCCGCCGAGGCAUCCCAGGAGCAGGAGCCAGUCGCGAGGACGCGGCCAGUCUACCCAGCGAGGAGGACCCGAUCGUCUCCAGGUCCCCCGCUGCGUGAUCUGUGGCGGUCCUCAUUACCCACGGCAGUGUUCACGCAGCCGGGGCAGGUGCUUCUUGUGUGGCCAAGAGGGCCACUUCCAGUCGGACUGCCCGAGGAGUCCGUUGCCAGCGCCAUCUGCGGCAUCUGCACCAGCAUCGCCAGGUCCCAGCCAGGGGACAUCUUCUGCGCAUCACCAGGCAGGGCGGCUGCCAGCUCUGCGACAGGCGGAGGGGUCACGACAGGCCCCGAGCGGGCGCAUGUACGCAGCCCAGACUGAGGAGGCGGCGGCAGCCGAGAAUGUAGUCGCAGGUAUCAUUUUACUUCAUGGUAUUCGAGUAAGACUUUGUUUGAUACCGGUGCAUCGCAUUCAUUCAUUGAUCGGCUAUUUGCCGAGCUGCAUGGCAUUCCACUUGUAUCCCUGUUGCCCCCGGGACAAGUCGUUGUACCCGACCAUUCCUUGGACAUUCGGGAGUUUUGCCCCAGUUGCCCUAUUCGGGUUGGAGAUUGGAUCAUGCCCGUGGACUUGUUAGCGUUGCAUAAACUCGGGGAGUUUGACGUUGUGUUGGGCAUGGAUUGGUUGACUAAGUACUACGCCACUAUCGAUUGAAAAGAUCGAGCGGUGACGUUUAGAGAGCCGGGGCAGGCGGAGGUUGUGUACCGAGGAUGCCAGAGUUCGCUGUUUGCGAUGACGAUUAGCUCCUCUCGAGCUAGGCAGUUGAUUAGUAGAGGCUGCGUAGCCUACUUGGCUACUGUGAUGUUGCAGGGUGUGGAUGACGCCCCUAGGAUUGAGGAUAUCCCCGUAGUGCGGGAGUUUGGAGACGUGUUUCCUGCGGAGCUUCCAAGCAUGCCACCUGAUAGGGAAAUUGAGUUUGUGGUAGAUCUCGUCCCCGGGACUACCCCGAUCUCAAAGGCACCCUAUAGGAUGGCACCAGCAGAAUUGAAGAAGCUGAAGGCACAGCUGCAGGAUCUUCUGGACAAGGGUUUUGUGCGACCGAGUGUGUCACCUUGGGGAGCACCGGUCCUAUUUGUCAAGAAGAAGGAUGGAUCACUUCGCUUGUGUGUGGACUAUCGUGAACUUAAUAAAGUCACGAUUAAGAACAAGUAUCCAUUGUCGAGGAUUGAUGAUCUAUUUGAUCAACUCUAGGGAUCUUGUGUAUAUUCCAAGAUUGACUUGGAGUCGGGAUAUCACCAGUUGAGGAUCAGACCUGAGGAUGUAUCGAAGACGGCUUUUAGAACACGGUAUGGACAUUAUGAGUUUACUGUUAUGCCGUUUGGGCUUACUAAUGCCCCGGCAGCUUUUAUGGAUCUGAUGAACCGUGUUUUCAAGCCUGACUUAGACAGGUUCGUUGUGGUGUUUAUCGACGACAUCUUAGUGUAUUCCCGGAGUGACGCGGAGCACGAGGAACACUUGAGACUUGUACUUCAAGUGCUUCGGAAAAAGAAGCUCUACGCCAAGUUGAAAAAGUGUGAAUUUUGGCUUAGAGAGGUGGCGUUUUUGGGCCAUGUGAUUUCAGGAUCAGGCAUAGCCGUGGACCUGAGGAAAAUUGAAGCUAUCAAGGAUUGGCCGAGGCCGACGAGCGUGACCGAGAUACGGAGCUUUAUUGGUUUGGCCGGCUACUACCGACGGUUUGUCGAGGGAUUUGCGAAAUUAUCUACUCCCCUCACGAGACUCACGCAUAACGGCACCAAGUUUAUUUGGAAUAAUGCUUUUGAAAGGAGCUUUCAAGAGUUGAAGCAGCGAUUUACGACUGCCCCAAUCCUUACCUUGCCGACUGCUGGAGCAGGGUAUGUGAUUUAUAGUGAUACUUCAUUUAAUGGAUUGGGCUGUGUUUUGAUGCAGGACGGGAAAGUGAUCGCGUAUGCAUCUCGCCAACUAAAGGAUUAUGAAAGGAAUUACCCUACUCACGACUUGGAGUGGGCGGCCGUAGUCUUUGCAUUGAAGCUAUGGCGCCAUUACCUCUAUGGCGAGCGAUGCGAAGUAUAUACAGAUCACAAAAGCUUAAAGUAUCUUUUCACUCAGAAGGAGUUGAACUUGAGGCAGCGCAGAUGGUUGGAGCUACUCAAGGAUUAUGACUUGACUAUUCUUUACCACCCGGGCAAGGCUAACGUGGUGGCGGAUGCGCUAAGUAGGAAAUCGACUGAAAACUUAGCGAUGCUUGUGGUUACUCAACCGCCGUUGAUCGAGCAGAUGAAGCGGUUGGAGUUGGAGGUGGUGGCUCCUGAUACACCUUUGAGACUGAUGACUUUGGUGGUGCAACCUACACUUUUGGAAAGGAUUAAAGAAAAGCAAGCUUCUGAUGUGGAGUUGCAAAAGAUUAAAGGUAAAAUGGUUGAUGGUUGCACCGGCGACUUCGCUUUUGACGGCGAGGGAUUGAUGCGUUUCCGCGGACGACUUUGUGUACCGGCGGACUUGGGCGUUAAAGAGGACAUACUUCAUGAAGCACACCGAGCACCGUAUGCUAUACAUCCGGGGGGCACCAAGAUGUACAAGGAUUUGAAAUUACUUUAUUGGUGGCCCGGGAUGAAAAAGGAUGUUGAUGAAUUUGUUGCUAGAUGUUUGACUUGCCAACAGGUGAAGGCUGAGCACCGAGUUCCUGCGGGGAAAUUGCAAAGCCUACCGAUUCCAGUGUGGAAGUCGGAGAAGAUCACCAUGGACUUCGUGAUGGGAUUGCCUCGCUCACAGGCCGGGCAUGACGCUAUUUGGGUGAUUGUGGAUAGGUUGACGAAAUCGGCACAUUUCAUACCUAUCCACACUACUUGGUCUGGUGAGAGACUCGCACAGGUUUAUUUGGAUGAGAUUGUGUGAUUGCACGGGGUACCUACUUCCAUAGUAUCAGAUCGAGACCCCCGUUUUGUAUCCCACUUUUGGAGGAGCUUACAGGACGCUCUGGGUACGCGUUUGGACUUUAGUACAGCCUUCCACCCCCAGAGUGACGGGUAGUCGGAGCGUACUAUACAGACUCUCGAGGACAUGCUUCGAGCCUGCGUGAUCGACUUCCAGGGAGGAUGGUCGCUGCAUCUACCGAUGGCAGAGUUUGCUUAUAACAAUAGUUAUCAAGCAAGCAUCAAGAUGGCACCGUUCGAGGCACUAUAUGGACGGAAGUGUAGGUCGCCGCUUCAUUGGAGUGAAGUUGCCGAGAGAUUGGCUUUAGGCCCAGAUGUGCUCCAGGAAGCAAAGGACAAGGUUCGUAUUGCUCGGGAGCGAUUGUUGACGGCCCAGAGUAGGCAGAGGAGUUAUGUUGACAGGCGGCGAUGAGACUUGGAGUUUCAGAUUGGAGAUCACGUCUUCUUGAAAGUCUCGCCGACUCGAGGAAUUAGACGAUUUGGAAUCCGGGGCAAGUUGAGCCCCCGAUAUAUUGGACCGUAUGAGGUUUUGGAGCGUGUAGGCCCAGUAGCGUAUCGACUUGCUCUACCGCCGAACCUAUCGGGUGUACACAAUGUAUUCCAUGUAUCGGUCCUUCGGAAGUACAUCCACGACCCGGCUCAUGUAUUGGAUGCUACACCUAUGGAGCUGCGGGAGGGUUUGAGCUUUGAGGAGCAACCCUUGAGAAUUUUGGCUCGCGAGGUAAAAAGAUUGCGGAACCGAAAAAUUCUCUACGUGAAGGUGCUUUGGAGCAACCACGACGAGCGCGAGGCCACUUAGGAGUUGGAGAGCGCACUGCGGGAGCGCUAUCCCCAUCUUUUUCAGAUGGAGGCUUGAGGUACUUUGUUGUUUCGAGUUUCGCGGACGAAACUCCUUUUUAGGAGGGGUGAAUGUAACACACUGGACCUUUGCAAAUUGCGAGGUUCGAGUGAUUAGCUGUGCUCUGAGCUUUUCCAGAUUUCCUGGUAGGUCGAUGACUGUGUUCCGACCUAUGGCACGUGUCCCAAGGAGUGUGGUACAAAGCCUUGCACUAAAACCCAAAAAUUUGGAUUUUGGUCAGCUCUCGGAUUGGCUGUCUGGCGGGCUUGUACCGGUACAAGGUUGUGCUUGUACCGGUACAGAGCCGCGAACUCGCAAACCCGAGCCUCGGGUUUGCAUUUUCGCAGGUCUCGUACCGAUACAAGGAUGGUCUUGUACCGGUACAAUGUUGAUGGUUGUACCGGUACAGCCAUCGGGCUUGUACCGGUACAGUGCCGCAGAACCACGCACCCGAGCCUCGGUUUUGGAUUUUCGUAGCUCUUGUACCUGUACAAGAUCCCGUGUACCGGUACAAGGAGGCAGAUUCUGCACAGUUUGUUCUGCAGGGGCUUAUUUGCGAUUGUGGGCUUCUUAUAACAGCACCCACGCCCCUAGGGCACUCCCCUGAGCUCGGAAGAGCAGAGAACCAGGUAAGGAAGCUUCCCACACUUUCCCACUUGGUUUUGAUUUCAUUCUAGUUUGGAUUUUGAUGGUUUUUCCCUCUCUUUUGCCUAUUGGAACUAUUUCCACCAUUUUUGAAGCUUGGAGCUUGGGUUUGGAGUUUGUUUGAGGGAAGAUACUUGAAGUUUGAGGACUUGUUCAGAGACCGGCGACAGGGGCAGCAUUCCCCGUGAUGGCCGAGGGAGCCGAGCGGGAUCGGCUUAUGGAGCGCCUCAGUGAGUUCAGGAGGUGCAGCCCGAGGAUGUUUGAUGGCGAGAACGUCGACCCCUGGAUUGUCGAGAAGUGGUUGAUGCAUAUGGAAAAGCUGUUUCGAGACACUUUUGUGGAGGAGCGGGACAGAGUUUGGCUCGCCACUCACUUUCUGGACGGCGAGGCCUACCGUUGGUGGUUGGAUAUCCAGGACAACCCCAACACCGACUUGGCAGCGAUUACUUGGACUAGGUUCAAGGAGCUUCUUCUGGCGCACCACUUUCCUACCAGCGUCAAGAGGAAGAUGGAGCAUGAUUUGCGCAGCUUGCGCCAGGAUGAGCGGUCAGUGGCUUAGUACGAGAGGGAGUUCUCCCGGAUACUACACUGUGUACCGUUUGUUGUGAGGGACGACGAGGACAAGGCCCGCAUCUUUGAGCGCAGUUUGCGGCCUUCUAUCUUCCGGUUGGUGCAAUCUUCCAACCUCUAGACCUAUCGGGAGGUUGUGGAUCGAGCAUUCAUAGUGGAGGCAGGAGCGGCAGAUCUUCAGGAGCGACGCGAGGCCCUAGAUAAGGGCAAGGGCAAGAGGCCAGCGGCUGAGGGUGCGAGUCAGACGCACUCACGGAGGCCGCCGAGGCAUCCCAGGAGCAGGAGCCAGUCGCGAGGACGCGGCCAGUCUACCCAGCGAGGAGGACCCGAUCGUCGCCAGGCCCCCCGCUGCGUGAUCUGUGGCGGUCCUCACUACCCGCGGCAGUGUUCACGCAGCCGGGGCAGGUGCUUCUUGUUUGGCCAGGAGGGCCACUUCCAGUCGGACUGCCCGAGGAGUCCAUUGCCAGCGCCAUCUGCGGCAUCUGCACCAGCAUCGCCAGGUCCCAGCCAGGGGACAUCUUCUGCGCAUCACCAGGCAGGACGGCCGCCAGUUUUGCGGCAGGCGGAGGGGUCACGACGGGCCCCGAGCGGGCGCAUGUAUGCGGCCCAGACUGAGGAGGUGGCGGCAGCCGA